AGGGAUCAAACCUGUGUCUCCUACAUGUCUCCGGCAUUGCAGGCGGAUUCUUUGCUGCUGAGCCACCAGGGAACCUCGUGGAACUGGGUAACUGUGAGUCAGCAAGACCUUCUGCCCCAGUCCUCUGCCCCCUGGAAGGACCGAAUCCGAAACACUGGAGACAUGCUGCCUCUCUGAUUGAACGUCAGUGGAGGGGACCGGGCUUCAUGGCUCCACACUCACCGAGCCGACACAGGCCUUUCCAUGAGGAGCUCUUUCCUUCUCCUCCUUCCACAAUGAGCUGUUUUGUGUCUCCUCUCAACUGCUUCUGUGUCUGAGGGCUUCCUGUGUGGAAAUCUCUGGAAUCACUGCUGGGAGAAUUCCUAGCCCUGAGGUGCUCCUAGUUGAGGGUUGAAAGGCAGACAUACGAAGAGGGAGUCUGAGAGCCACAAGUGUCCAAAGAGGUGCGAGAACCUUCUCUCCGAGGCAAACCCACCUCCCCAAGGUCUUGAUGCUGGUCUUCCUUCAUCAGUCGCCCCGUUUACUAGCAUCUCCGAUCCCCUUCCAGAAGCCCAGAGCAAGGGUCAGCGAGUUAGAGCCCACAGACCGGGUCCUGUCCGCUGCCUGCUGCAGAUUCUUUUGUUUGUUUGUUUGGGACGUUUGGGGUUUUGUUUGCUUUGGGAUUUGUUCUUUGUUUUUGCGAUUAAGGUUCACCGGGACGCAGCCCUUGCUCCCUGGGUUACACACCGCCUGUGACCGCCGUUGCGCUACAGUGGCUGGGUUGAGUGGUCGUCACCGCAGAGAUCCCACAGCCAGGACAGCUGAGCCUGUUUCUUAGCCGGCUCGUUACAGCAAAGGCCUGUGGAUGCUUAGGGCCCUGAUGUGUCGGCUGUACCAGCGCUCAAGGAGGGCCACUGAAAUUACCCUGAGAUGGGGAUGGAAAGACGUAGCAGAGGCGUUCGCCAUCAGCCUACACUGAGGCUCAAAUCGGGCCAAGUCGACCACUUCUCGCAGAGCCGGUUGGCUUUCCACAUCUCUCCUUCACGUCCCACUCACUCGUAAACCCGUGCAGUCCAGCCCCUGCCCCUGCUUUCUGCUGAAACGGUUCCCACUAGGACCACCCCGACCCCCUGAAGCCUGGUCCGUCAUCCUUUGCUCAGUCCCGCCACGCUCGAGCUCUCUUUAGCACCUGCCUCUCUUGACUACAUCCAUCUUGAAAUUCUGGUGGCUUCCAGGAGACUAGACCAGCCUUGAGUUGCCUCUUCUCCCGCGAUUCCUUCUCCGGUCCCUUCCCUUGGGUCUUCUUCCUUCCCCUCCUGCCUAAGCACACGCUCUGCGAGGAUCUGCCCAGGGCCUCUGUCUUCCCUCGAGGUUUCUCGCUGCACAAAAUCAUCCCUUUGCCUGCUUUUAAUAUUAAUACUCACGUUGGUGUGGGUGUCUUUCCAACAUCUAACUUCUGACCUGACAGCCCAGAUUUUCAUCUUCCUGAAAAAAAAAAUCCCCGGCAGUCCAGUGGUCAAGCCGUCACCACCCAAUGCAGGGGAUGUGGGUUCGAUCCCCGGUCAGGAAGCCAAGAUCCCACAGCCUUGUGGCCAAAAAACCCCAAAGAGAAAACAGAAGCAAAACUGUAAUGAAUUCCAGAAAGGCUUAUAAAAAUGGUCCACGUUAAAAAAAAAAAAAGGUGGUGGAGGGGGAAGCCCAGGUUUCUAACAGAAUGCAGCAACUCCUCAGAUGCUUGUCUCCUUGACCAGAUAAGGCAAAUUCAUUCAACGUGAAGGAGAGGUAACAUGCUGACCCCUUCCCUGCCCUGCACGCGUCUGCCUAUCCUCCCAUCUCCGCCUUCAUGGCUGCUCAUCCUAAGAGAUCCUGUCCUCGAUGCAUCCCUCCUCGGGGGCAGUCUCAUCCAUUCAUGCAGUUUCAACAGCCACCUGUGCGUGAAUCACUGCCCAGUCCAUCUCUGGGUGUGUUCUCAGCUGCCUCCUGCAUUCCCAGCGUAUGAGGUAGGUGUCAGGUGUUUCUGCCUGCCCAGACUCCAUCCUGAACGUGGUAACUGCCCCUUAGCUUUCCUUUGGGGAGACAACCGUCCCCUGCUUUCCCUCCGCGUGGGUCACCCAAGGCUGACCUCGUCUGCCCCUUCGGGGGGCAGUCCCAGAAACCAGGCGUAUCAGUCAUCUCUGGCUGUGUAACAAAUUAGCCCCAAACUCAGGGGCUUAAGACAGCACACAUUUAUUUUCUCGCAGUUUCUGUAGGUCGGGAAUCUGGACAGGCUUCGGUUGGGUCCUCGGAUCGUGGUCUCUCGUGAGACUUUAAUCAAAGUGUCACCCAGCACUCGGGUCUCAUCUGAAGGCUCAACGACGCUUUCAGGGUUGUGGGCAGGAUUCAGUUCCUCAAGGGCUGUCGGACUGAGGGUCUCGGCUCUUUGGUGGAGAUUGGCCACCCUCGGUUGCGGGCCACGUGGGUGUCCGCCCCGUGGAGGCUUGCAUCAGCAAAGCCAGCGAGUCUGCUAGAGAGACGGAAGUCCAAGCCUUGGGUCACCGCACCCCAGAAGUGACAACAGCAGCGUGUUGCCUUAUUUGGUGAGAACUAAGCUAGUCACGAGGAGACGGCGGCACAAAGGUGCCAGCUAGGACGCAGGCUCACUGGAGGCGCAACUUCCAGGCUGUCAGCCACAGAAGUGUCAGCCAAUGAAACCACAAUAAUUGAGUCAAGGCUGGGUCUCUAAUCAAAGUCAAUCAGAAUUAGACCUGAGAUGUUUGCCAGGAGUGUGGAGAGAGUGCAGCUGCUGGCAUUGUUCUGGAGGAGAGGGUAAGCUUGAAACUGCUGGAGGUCAUAACCUCUGUCUUGUGGAGGAGAAUCUGCCUAAACUGCAAAUGGAUUAAGGAACAAGAUGAGGAGAGAGAUACGCCUGAUACAGCCACACCUGCAGCAGAACCUCGAGAGUCUUUGGUGAUAGCAGCCCGGAUGUUCCUUCUGCUUCCAUCGGUUUCAGACGAAUUCUGCCACCCACAGCCCGAGGAUUCCUAGUGGAUAAAAUGUCUCAGAAAUACCUGGAUUCAGUUUGCCCAAUUAUCUUACCUUGGUCUCCCCAACAGAGCUGCUGCUUUUCCUAGGUCCUAUUUUGCGGAUGAAAGCAUGACGCAGUUGCUUAGGGCGAAAACCUUGAAGCCAUUUUUGCCCUUCCUCAUCUGCUCUGGAGGUGAAAUAGCCUGUGCAACAUGGAUUCUAUAGAACCGGUAGGAGAGACUGUCUUCCUUCGCAAAGAUGGAGGAGGCUCUACGGUGACCCAGAGAAAGCUGGAGCCCUUUGGGACGCUGGAGAAACUUAAAGAACCGGCUCCACUGGUGGAUUCUCAGGACCAGACUAGCCUCCUGGAAGAGGAGAGACCCACUGGAGCAGAGUCCAUGAGCCGAUUCGUUUCAGCCAAGGUCCCAGCCGUAUGGAAGAGACUGUACAAGCCCAAAGCCAAACCUCAUCAAACCCGCCAGCU